rnacentral:rRNA from 1 species
AGCGAACGCUGGCGGCAGGCUUAACACAUGCAAGUCGAGCGGGCACCUUUCGGGGUGUCAGCGGCGGACGGGUGAGUAACGCGUGGGAACGUGCCCGCUGGUUCGGAAUAACUCAGGGAAACUUGAGCUAAUACCGGAUACGCCCUUUUGGGGAAAGGCUUGCUGCCGGAGGAUCGGCCCGCGUCUGAUUAGCUAGUUGGUGAGGUGACGGCUCACCAAGGCGACGAUCAGUAGCUGGUCUGAGAGGAUGUUCAGCCACACUGGGACUGAGACCCGGCCCAGACUCCUACGGGAGGCAGCAGUGGGGAAUAUUGGACAAUGGGCGCAAGCCUGAUCCAGCCAUGCCGCGUGAGUGAUGAAGGCCUUAGGGUUGUAAAGCUCUUUUAUCCGGGACGAUAAUGACGGUACCGGAGGAAUAAGCCCCGGCUAACUUCGUG